AGUGGGAAUGCAUUCUAUGUGUUGUUUUGAAGAAAAGAUUUUUUCCAAAAUGUAGAGCAUGACAUAUCCUUUUCUAAUCCCACAGGUAAAAUCCAGCCUGUAGGAAUGCAGCUGCCCGACCUCUUAUUCACGGAACCACCUACCCAAGUCUUCAUUCAGCCAAGACCAAGGGGAAAAAAUUAACUCAUGGAGAGGUUCACAGUUUAUUACAGCUGUAUGAACUCCUCAUAUUGACCGAGUAUGUACAAAUAUGCAUGUAGACAUAUAUUAUCCUUCAGCUGAUUCGAAUAACUUCGGCUCACGAAUAAGUAUCUCAGCAGCUCUCGGUAAGUAAUAAAAACAGAGGAAGUUUCUUAUUACA
rnacentral:lncRNA from 1 species